CCUACGGGUGGCAGCAGUGGGGAAUAUUGCACAAUGGGGGAAACCCUGAUGCAGCGACGCCGCGUGAGUGAAGAAGUAUCUCGGUAUGUAAAGCUUCAUCUGCAGGGAAGCAGCAAGACGGUACCUGACUAAGAAGCCGCGGCUAACUACGUGCAAGCAGCCGCGGUAAUACGUCGGGGGCAAGCGUUAUACGGAAUUACUGGGUGUAAAGGGAGCGUAGACGGUAUGGUAAGUCUGAAGUGAAAGCCCAGGGCUUAACCCUGGGACUGCUUUUGAAACUGUUAGACUAGAGUGCUGGAGAGGUAAGUGGAAUGCCUAGUGUAGCGGUGAAAUGCGUAGAUAUUAGGAGGAACACCAGUGGCGAAGGCAGCUUACUGGACAGUAACUGACGUUGAGGCUCGAAAGCGUGGGGAGCAAACAGGAUUAGAUACCCUUGUAGUC
rnacentral:rRNA from 1 species